UAAGGUUUAGCUAAUAAAGCUUUUGAUUUGCAUUCAGAGGACAUAGGAUAGAGCCCUAUAAACCUUAU
rnacentral:tRNA from 1 species